CCUACGGGUGGCAGCAGUGGGGAAUAUUGCACAAUGGGGGAAACCCUGAUGCAGCGACGCCGCGUGAGUGAAGAAGUAUUUCGGUAUGUAAAGCUCUAUCAGCAGGGAAGAAAAUGACGGUACCUGACUAAGAAGCCCCGGCUAACUACGUCCCAGCGGCCGCGGUAAUACGUAGGGGGCCAGCGUUAUCCGGAUUUACUGGGUGUAAAGGGAGCGUAGAGGGCCAGACAAGUCAGAAGUGAAAGCCCAGGGCCCAACCCUGGGACUGCUUUUGAAACUGCCGGGCUUGAGUGCAGGAGAGGUAAGCGGAAUUCCUAGUGUAGCGGUGAAAUGCGUAGAUAUUAGGAGGAACACCAGUGGCGAAGGCGGCUUACUGGACUGUAACUGACGUUGAGGCUCGAAAGCGUGGGGAGCAAACAGGAUUAGAUACCCCAGUAGUC
rnacentral:rRNA from 1 species